GACGAACGCUGGCGGCGUGCUUAACACAUGCAAGUCGAACGGAAAGGCCCUGCUUUUGUGGGGUGCUCGAGUGGCGAACGGGUGAGUAACACGUGAGUAACCUGCCCUUGACUUUGGGAUAACUUCAGGAAACUGGGGCUAAUACCGGAUAGGAGCUCCUGCUGCAUGGUGGGGGUUGGAAAGUUUCGGCGGUUGGGGAUGGACUCGCGGCUUAUCAGCUUGUUGGUGGGGUAGUGGCUUACCAAGGCUUUGACGGGUAGCCGGCCUGAGAGGGUGACCGGCCACAUUGGGACUGAGGUACGGCCCAGACUCCUACGGGAGGCAACAGUGGGGAAUAUUGCACAAUGGGCGGAAGCCUGAUGCAGCAACGCCGGGUGCGGGAUGACGGCCUUCGGGUUGUAAACCGCUUUCGCCUGUGACGAAGCGUGAGUGACGGUAAUGGGUAAAGAAGCACCGGCUAACUACGUG
rnacentral:rRNA from 1 species